rnacentral:rRNA from 1 species
UACGUAGGUGGCAAGCGUUGUCCGGAUUUACUGGGUGUAAAGGGCGUGUAGGCGGAACAGCAAGUCAGAAGUGAAAUCCCCGGGCUUAACCCGGGAACUGCUUCUGAAACUGCAGUCCCUGAGUACUGGAGAGGAAAGCGGAAUUCCUAGUGUAGCGGUGAAAUGCGUAGAUAUUAGGAGGAACACCAGUGGCGAAGGCGGCUUUCUGGACAGAGACUGACGCUGAGGCGCGAAAGCGUGGGGAGCAAACAGG